CUUUAACAGCUGGACAAAUACCAUACUGACGUUACCUGUUGUUAGCAACAGUUGGUGUCCAAGCGCCUUUCUGUCCCACUGAGCUUGCCUGUUGUGAUGUUUGUGGAACUGAUGCAGUACAUGAAGGCAUCCAGCCUUGCAAAGAUUGCCAGUGUGUCUCUAGCAUCCACCACACAUCAGCAAGCAUGCAGCAGUGGGUUGGAGCACUCCUAGGAGGACUGUCCCAGGAGGAAGCAUUCUAGCUACAUGAAAUCACAAGGCUCUAGCUCUCACCUGACACUGCCUCAAGGUCCUGGGCACUCACCAGCUUCCUGAUGUCUGCAAGAAGCAAACCCAGCUGUGGGCUGUUGAAAGGACCAGGAUUCUGCAAGAUAUCACAGUGGAUAUGGGAUGUUAUAUCCAUAAGUAGAUUUUGUUGCUGUGUUUGUGUUGUGUUUUGUUGUAGGCCCACUCAAAAUCUAGUGCAAAGGAAGUACAGAAGCUAUAUAAGUAAAAGAGAAUCAUAGAAUUCACAGAAUCAUAGAACCAUUUGGGUUGGAAGGGACCUUUAAAGGUCAUCUAGUCCAAUCCCCCUGCAACAAGCAGGGACAUCUUCAACUAGAUCAGGUUUCUUAGAGCCCCAGAGAACCAGAGAGUGAUUCCUGGCCCAGCAAAUACAAGCCUGCACUCAAAGCAUGGGUCACACUCAGGAGUCCAUGCCAGACAUGGACCUGCAAGCCUGGAACAGGGAGUACAUCAAACUUUUGCUUGCUCCUUGGAUGGGCUCCCUAAGAUCUCUUCAGCAUGACUGUCCUGCAGCAUCGGACUGGAGAUUGUUCAGUAUUCUCUUGAGCUCAGGGAUCUAAAAAUUAUCAUGAGCAUUACAGUCCUCUGCUUCAGGAGUGGAGGGGCUGAGAGCUGGUAGGGAGCGAACCAGGCAGUGUGUUCUGCAAAAAGCUUUAGGGCACUAGUGACAGAUCCACUCAUCUUUAAAGACAUAGUAACACAUUUGAUUCCCAUUUGUGUGAGACUCCCAUAAAAUACAUUAAAUUUGUCAGGGAGAGUAGUUUGAUCCUCCUCAUGUUAAAAGGUCAGUUGCAUCUGUGUUUGCACGUUGUAAGAACUAGUCCUGCAAACAAAUUAAAAUCUUAUCCCUUUGCUCCAGAAACAAUCAGUUAAUGCUAAAAAGUACAAUCAGGUGUACUUAAUGGUCUCAAAAUAUAGGCAUAUAUAAGUGUAUAGGCAUAUACAUACAUGAAUAUAGGCAUAUGCACAAAUGCAUAGAUAUAUAUGUGUGUGUGUUGUGUAAAACUGAAGCAUGUAUCUGAACUCCCCAUCAUGUUUACUCUCCAGAAAAAGAUAUUCCUGUCAGUUCUGUGGUUUAGUUCAAAAUAAGAUAAAGUAUGAUAUAAUGUACUUUACAUGUAAAAUUCAAAAUAAAAUGAAAUUUGUUAUAAUCCCAUUUUCUCCUCUAAAUUGUAUUUAUUUCUUGCUACUUUCACAGCUGGACUUUGUUUUCCCUUCCUAGGGAAAAAGACACCACACUUCAGCAAGUGAAGGAUUCAAACCUGUGGAUUUUGCUUGGGAAACAGCAGCUGAAAGACCUCUGAGUAGUGUCCUGUGACCACUCAGAGGUAUUCCAGAUAGCGGGACACUAUUCUCACCAUGUGUUGACCUAUUCUUAUGGUAAAAUCCAAUUUUGUAUUACCUCCUACAUCAGCCGGUCACUCAUCCAGCUCUGUUGAUGUCACAUAAGAUUGAUACCAAACAAGAGGAACAAUCCCCUUCUGCAAGGUCGAAAUGAGAUUUUUUUCCAAGACUUUGAAGAAAUGCGGUUAUCUCUGCCACCAUCAGAGAAGCCACUUAGAUGCUUAAUGCAAAUAGGUUUAUUCAGAACUGGAUUUGUCCAGCCUGGAGAAAAGAAGGCUUAGGGGAGACCUUAUCACCAUGCUCCACUGUUUAAAGGGUGGCUACAAAGCAGAAGGAAACUCCCUUUUUACAAGGAGUCACAUGGAAAAGACCAGGGGAAAUGGAUGCAAGUUAUUCCUGGGAACAUUCUGAUUGGACACAAGAGGGAAUUUUUUCACAAUGAGAACAACCAGACAUUGGAAUAAUCUCCCCAGGGAAGUGGUGGGUUCCCCAACAUUGGACACUUUAAAGAUUCAGCUGGACAGGGUGCUGGGCCAGCUUGUCUAAACCAUGCUUUUGCCAAGAAAGGUUGGACCAGAUGAUCCUUGUGGGGUUCUGUGAUUCUAUGAUUGAAAUUCAGUGUUCAUUUUAUGAAGUUAUACAAAAAUCUGCUGCUGGUGAGAGUGAUAAGAAAUAUCCCUUCCUGGAGAGACUGUGUCUCUGCUGUGAGGUGAAUUCAGCCUGUAUGUGUACAUGUCUGCUGGUUUGUUUCCACAAAGAGAAGCAGGGACCUAAAUGCUUGAUCUAGAAAGCAACUGAAGAACUGAAAAAGUUAACUUUUAGACACCCUAUGGCCUAGUAAAAUUCUCUGUCCUGAUUUAGAAGCUCAGGCUUUCUUGAAUAGGAGGAGUUUGACAUUUAGGGUAGGCAAAGCUCCUUUUCAGUUUUUAUUUGAUAUUUGUAUCUAUGAAUUCUCUUCUGAAGUUUGGCAUGCCACUGUCUUCUGGUGAAAAUACAAGGAUAUUUUUUGGAUCUGGAAGUACUCCCUGACUGCUGGCUUUGGGUAUUGACCUGACCUUACUCUCAUUCCUGGGAGGGGAUAUGUGGGUGCCCUCCCUACUUCUGAGCUGUAUGGAAAGUAGACAUGAGCAUGGGGAACAGCUUUGAUAUGAACCGAUAUGUACUAAAGGGAGUACAUGGCUUCUUUCCUAGGAUUCUGGGACCUGGGGGACCUGUCUUUUAGUUUACUCUUGUUAUUGAGUAGAUGGGAAUGCUGAGAAUAGGUCCUUUCUCUCUUGUGCCACUGGGUACAGCAAACCACAAAGUUUCUGGAUCCUUGUGCUGGAAGAACUUGCAACUUUUCUGCAAAUUGCCACUAUCAUCUGGAAUGAGCCCUCUCUAUAGGGUAGAUUCUUCAUCCUUCUUUCUAGUCUGAGAACAGAAUGAAUUCUUAGUCUUUUCUUUUGGACCCGGUCCUCUUUCUCCUCAGCUGAGAAACAAGUGGUGUUUUGUGUGGUGUUUUUUUUGUUUUGUUUUUGUUUUUGUUUUUGUUUUUGUUUUUGUUUUGUUUUUGUUUUUUUUUUUUUCCUAAGGUAUUCAUUGAUCUGUGGACUAGAAACAGGAACUGGGUGACUGGUGUCAUCACCGGCCUGUUCCACAUGUUACUCUCUCCACUGCUUGGGCCAACUAUUAAGAUAAAUAAUAUAAAGUGGGAACAAGUGGGCUGGGAGGAUCACAACCAUACAGCCUUGUUGAAAUUUCCUUUGCAUAGCUGAAGAGGCAGGAAGAAAUCUCCCCAGAAAACCACUGAACUGGAUUUGGUGUUCCCAGCUAGAGGAGACAGCAUUUGUGUAGAGGUGGGGGGGACACCCCAUCACUUGUAGGCUGGGCUGGUGCCUCCUUCCAGGAGAAAGCAAGGCUACUAGCUUCAGCCCUUUCUCCUUUGAGCCGCUGUUGUGCAGUUUAGGCAGCUCCUGGCUCAGCAUGCAGGUUUUUGUAGCUCCUACUUUUAGUACUAAGAUCCAGCGCUCUUUCCUUCUGCACGUCCCAGCUUUCAUCAUGUCCUUUUCCCUCCAAUCUUCUUCUCAGCACUAUCCAGCUUUGUUUCUCUUCUUGAGUGGAAGACACAGAAAGAUCGUAUUUCUUCAGAAAUCCCAGUUUCCCUAUUUUUUACCUUUUUGCAAUCUUCUGUCAGCAAAGCCAGGGGCAACUUGCCAGCAAUGUGCUGUGCAAGUGGGCAGAAUUCAGAAGGAAACAGCAUUUUGUCUUGUGAUCAGUUCAGGUGCUGAGGAAACCACAGCAGAGUAAAUGAUUCGUCUUUUCGAGAAGCCCAAAGGAAAAAUACUAUUUCUGAUUGAAAGUCUCAUCCUCUGACUUUGAGGUCCUGGGGAUCACAUCUAUAAAAGCAGAAAAGUGGUAACCAUGUCUGUUGUUUCUUUAAUACAAUCCUGUUUUGUUAUUUGUAAAUUGUGCUCCAUCUUCAUUAUGCCAUCCAGACAUAAGGGUGGGGGUUGCAUUUGCCAACCAUGCUCAGGGAAACUACACAUCCUAAAUUGGGUAUAGCAUGGGCUUUGGCAGAGGGAAAAAAUAACCUAGGCACUUUUUCUUAGAGCUUUUUAAAGGCUCCAGAAAAAUAGCCUUCACUGAGCAGUCUUAGCUCCUGCAAUAUUUUUAUUUUUAAAACUUUCAGUGGGAAUUUUAUUUGGUGUUUUUCAAAUGCAUAUGACUGGGUUGCUGUGCUAUGUGUCACCCUUCAAACACCCCAAAUUAAGGCCAGCCAGUGACCAGGAAACCCUGGAUUCUCCCCCACCUCUUUCCCCAGGCAAACAAUUCCUGAAACAUAAAAUUUCAAAUAAGUAAACUUGAAUGUUGUUCAUUGCUGUUUCCUACUGUGAUAAGUAGUUUAAGGUCAUGUAUUUACAAUGUAUGGCUUAAAAUAUAAACUCCCUUUGUUUGUGCUUUGCUAUUGUCUGCACCACUGAAUGCUUUCAUGGAAAUAUACUGUGAUAAAGGAGGGCUUAGAAAUUCAAUGUAAAAAGGCAACCAGAGCCACUGGGGAAUAAAGUACUCUACCAAACAAGACAUGGCCUCCAUUGACCAGCUUCACAAUAUAAUGCUUUUUCUAAAGUGCAUUUAAUGCAGGGCAGAAAUUUAUGCAUCAUAAAGGGACAAGACAAAAACCACCUUCCUGUGCUUUUCAGCAUUGGUAGAAACUUUGAUCAGCAAUUUAAUUAAAUAUUUAGUUGUCUAAAUUUGCUGCAAUUGUGCCUGAAGGUGAAAACAGAUACCUUUCUGGAUAUCCUGUUCUUACUUUUAUUUCUGUAUGUCAUGAUAUUUUAAAACCUAUCGGC